UGGGAAUGUACUUACUGGUUCGGAACAACUCAGGGAAACUUGAGCUAAUACCGAAUGAGCCCGAAAGGGGAAAGAUUUAUCGCCAGUAAAUCAGCCCGCGUCCGAUUAGCUAGUUGGUGGGGUAAAGGCCCACCAAGGCGACGAUCGGUAGCUGUUCUGAGAGGAAGAUCAGCCACACUGGGACUGAGACACGGCCCAGACUCCUACGGGAGGCAGCAGUUGGGAAUCUUGGACAAUGGGGGAAACCCUGAUCCAGCCAUGCCGCGUGAGUGAUGAAGGCCUUAGGGUUGUAAAACUCUUUCGGCGGGGACGAUAAUGACGGUACCCGCAGAAGAAGCUCCGGCUAACUUCGUGCCAGCAGCCGCGGUAAUACGAAGGGGGCUAGCGUUGUUCGGAAUUACUGGGCGUAAAGCGCGCGCAGGCGGCCUUUCAAGUCAGUGGUGAAAGCCCGGAGCUCAACUCCGGAACUGCCAUUGAAACUGUUUGGCUUGAGUACGAGAGAGGUGAGUGGAAUU
rnacentral:rRNA from 1 species